CUGCCAACUAGAUGAUACUUCUCAGAGUGGCAAAACAGAUAUGUAUUCAGGCCCAGAUCUUCCAGAGGACAUGUGGCACCAUAUACAUUCCUUAAUGCCUCUGAGAGAUGCUGCCCGAGCCGCCUGCCUGUCUCAAUCCUUUCGGUAUUCUUGGAAACGCCGUCCCAACCUAAUUUUGAGUACGGAAACAUUGGGCUUGGACGAACAUGCACAUCAAAAGGAAGCAGAUAUGGAUUUCAGAAUCAAAAUUGACCACAUCCUUAGAAACCACUCUGACACUGGACUGAGAAAACUCAAACUUAGGUCGAUUCCAAAUUACAAUGCCAAGGACUCUGAUUAUAUUGAUAGAUGGCUUCAAAUCGCUUUUACACAAGCAAUUGAAGAACUCACCCUUACCCUGUGUCUAGACAGUCACAAAUACAAGUUCCCGUGCACACUUUUAUCGAAUGGGAUGGCAGACUCGCUUCGUCAUCUUUUCCUUGCCGGUUGUUCCUUUCAUCCUACACCUGGGCUUUGUUGCUUGAGAAGCCUGACAAAAUUAGAGCUGGUUAUGGUGCGUAACUGCGUACUACAGGGGACACGUUAUGGAGCCUUCUUUCCAGUUCUUCAGCUUUAGAACGGCUUUCACUUAAUUGUUGCAACAAAGUAAGCUACUUGAAGAUACCUUGCCAUCUUCAGCGGCUAAGCCACGUGGAGGUGCAUGAAUGCAGCAAGCUGCGAGUGAUAGAGAGCAAAGCUCCAAAUCUCUCCAGAUUUCACUUUCUAGGUAAGCUCAAGGUACAAAUCUCACUUGGAGAAACAUUGCAAGUGAAGAACUUGCACAUGAACUGUACCGAUUUUGGUUGUGAUACUCGAGCAGAACUGGCAUGCAGCAUGCUAAGCAAGGAGGUGAUCAAUUCACCAAAUGUUUAUAGUAAAUUUCUUGAGCUGAAGUCCUUGAAUAUUACACUAGGAGAAUUGCCCUUCGGUCGGAGCUUUGAUUGUUCUUCUCUGGUCUCUUUGUUUGGUGCUUCACUCUCUUUGGAGACCUUCAUCUCGCAUGUUUCCAAUGAACUCAAGCAGCAUGCAAUGGCUUUUGGAGAUCCUUCGGGGCUGUGGAUCUUGGGGACCGGCGGUGUUUUGUCCCCAAUGAAUAAGGGGCUGGUUGAGUUAGCAUGUCAUGUGCUCAGAGCCUGGUUAAGCUAAAAUGCCCCAUCCUGGGGACUGCAGCAUCGCUUGUACUGAACAACAGAUAAGUGUACAUGGUAAUACCAAAUGCUUUAAGCGCUUGGCCAUCGAAAACUAAACUAGGCAAAGUGUGAGCCUUUGUGAAGCUGUUCAACAUGAGAUGUCAAGUUGUGUGGUACUUAUAGUUUGUUAUAAAGCUGUAGCUAGAUCCUGUUUU